UACGUAGGGGGCAAGCGUUGUCCGGAAUCAUUGGGCGUAAAGAGCGCGUAGGCGGUCCGGUAAGUCCGCUCUGAAAGUCCGGGGCUCAACCCCGGGAGGCGGGCGGAUACUGUCGGGCUAGAGUCCGGAAGAGGCGAGUGGAAUUCCCAGUGUAGAGGUGAAAUUCGUAGAUAUUGGGAAGAACACCGGUGGCGAAGGCGGCUCUCUGGGACGGUACUGACGCUGAGACGCGAAAGCGUGGGAGCGACAGG
rnacentral:rRNA from 1 species